GGAAGUAAAAGUCGUAACAAGGUCUCCGUUGGUGAACCAGCGGAGGGUCAUUACCGAGUUUUCAACUCCCUAACCCUUCUGUGAACCUACCUAUCGUUGCUUCGGCGGACUCGCCCCAGCCCGGACGCGGACUGGACCAGCGGCCCGCCGGGGACCUCAAACUCUUGUAUUCCAGCAUCUUCUGAAUACGCCGCAAGGCAAAACAAAUGAAUCAAAACUUUCAACAACGGAUCUCUUGGCUCUGGCAUCGAUGAGAACGCAGCGAAACGCGAUAAGUAAUGUGAAUUGCAGAAUCCAGUGAAUCAUCGAAUCUUUGAACGCACAUUGCGCCCGCCAGCAUUCUGGCGGGCAUGCCUGUUCGAGCGUCAUUUCACCCUCGCCCCCCCUUGGGGAGGUCGGCGUUGGGGACCGGCAGCACACCGCCGGCCCUGAAAUGGAGUGGCGGCCCGUCCGCGCGACCUUGCGUAGUAAUACAGCUCGCACCGGAACCCCGACGCGGCCACGCCGUAAAACACCCAACUUCUGAACGUUGACCUCGAAUCAGGUAGGACUACCCGCUGAACUUAAGCAUACAAUAAGCGGAGA
rnacentral:rRNA from 1 species